GUAAGCUUGGUAAGGUCUCUUACCACUAUGAAGCCCUUUGCCAUCUUGGAUAUUUAGACAAAGUAUCAAAAACACUACAAUACUAUCUGAACUUAAGUUAUUUCUUUGACAAAUAUCACUCUUUCUUUGAUAAAGGUGAAAAUGGCAUUUUAAGAAGAACUAAUAAUAAUAAGCUGAUAGCUAUUACUCUUUUUCCUGGAAAAGGCCCAAAGUCUUUCUACAAACAGAAUUAUUAAAAUAAACUUACCAAUUUUUGCAAACCCAUAACACAAAAACAGCAACCUCCCCAAUUAUGGACGGGAAGUUUUAAAAGGCCAACAACUUCAACACCAUUAAAAGUCCACGUAACUUAUCAAAUAUGUCACCUCAACGCUUCUUCUCCAAACUAAACUGCUCUCACAAAUCAAAUUGACCAACAUUGUAUUCAAUAAACCAGAGAAAACAAAUAACUCAUCGCAUUUAAUUAUUCUUUUAGUUCAUUUCCUGGCAUCAACUCCUCCCGCUAAAUACUAUUAUCAUAUGCAUUAUUUUGAAAUGAAAAUAUAACAUACAACAAUUAGAGCUUUGGGAAUUCUUAGAAUUCUCAACACAAUUAUACAAAUCUUACAUGAUCUUUUAACCGCAAGGCUGCCUCAUACUUAAAACUAAUCGUAACUUCCUUCAUUUUAUUAUUGAACACACUCAUAAAAACAUAACUAAAAUAUCUAACAAUGUGAAGUUCACAAUUUAUUUGUAGUAUCCUAUAAAAUAAAACAUUAAAAUUAAUAGGAAUUUAAACAAUGGGCUAACUAAUAAUGAUUUCACAGUUCUGUUGGAAUGGAAAUAACACAAAAUCUGAAACCAUAUACCUACAACCCAACACAAUUAGUUCGAAGACCCAAAGAAAAUUAGUAAACAUCCGCAAACAUCAUACCACGCGUUACGCUCAAUGUCAACUCGACUUUCACAUUCCACCAA
rnacentral:lncRNA from 1 species